rnacentral:lncRNA from 1 species
UCCCUUGUUGUUCGGCUUCCCUACAAAAAGCAUUAAAAAAUUACUACAAUGGUUAAAAAACAAAAAAAAGGACAGACCUCACCACAAUUUGUACGAAUUCACACCAAAGAAUAAUAACAACAUUCAACAAGAUACUAUGCCAAACAAUUCGCAUCCUAGCCAGUAAAAAAUCGUCACCUUUGUUUGAAGCAAUACUACCCUCACACACUGUCGAUCCGUCAAUUAUAGCUUUCCCCUUGUCCUUUUUAGUACCAUUACCUUGAGAUUUACAGUUUACACAAAUGGUUACAACACUAACAAGUGAAAUAAAUAAAGAAGAAAUACAAAAAAUUCGUUCAAAAUACAACAAGUUAUCCAAAAAAAAUAGCGACCCACUCGCGAAUAUACAAGGUCGAAUAUUUCAAUGAAGCUCAAAUUUUGAAGGGGUUAACACACACGCGAUAAUCGAUGGUCAACGAGCACAAAACAUUGACUAAUUAUCCGACACUAGUCUAUUUCCAUCCCCACAUAUGCAUUUUUUAAAAGCAAAGAUCCGAAAACAACAAAUAGGAACCACCAAAAAUCAAUUUUUGUUUAACUCCACCCAAAAAAUCAAUGUUCGUACAACCUCCCCACCCAAAAAAUGCAUAAUACUUUCAUUCAUAUUUAAGAAUCAAUAAACAUGAAAUGCCCAAAAAUUCACAUGAAAUACAAUGACCUUUCAUAUUAAAUCUCACCGGUCCGACUACCCUUAGUUCGUGCCAUCGCUGGAACAGCGUAAACGAUGCAAAAACGGCCGAAAAUAGGGUUAGCUUGAUCAGCGCCGCCUCAACUCUUCCGUCGUCCCCUUUUUUCCGCACUUUUUGAGAGAUAGUGAAUAGGUUCAGAU